UAUAAUUAUGAACUAAUCCAGAAUCAGUUUCUGCAGACAGUUAUGACUGGCCUUCAUGAUGACAGCAUACGCACAGAUCUAAAACCCUACUUGGAAAACCCAUGCGUAGAAGAUGAAGUGCUUCUGGAGAAAAUGAACAUGUCAUAUAGUCUGGAGCUUGAACGAAAAUCAAAGUUCUCAACCACUCGACCAAAAAUAGCCAAGGUGGCCACAGUGAUGGAGGAGGAACAGGCACAUGCUGAACAAGAUAAAGGUGUCAUUAUAAAAAAGGAGAAAGCUCCAAAGCCUAACAACCUGAUGGAAAAGCUUGAUGCACGAGACAAAGUGAUUUGUGAAGCAAUCCAGAGCCUUACGUCUCAAGUAGCGAGCCUUGCUCAAACAUCACGGCCUCAGACAAUCAGAAACAGUGACCAGAGAGUCACUCGAAAUCGAUUUCCACCUGUUCGAGCAAGCACCAGGCGCUGUACCCAAUGUGAGCAGUCCAACCCAGAGGGAAGAUGUGAACACUGCUACAAGUGUGGCAGCAGUGAGCACUGGGCAGCGGGUUGUCGGAAACGAACUGUAACCAAUGUGACGUCAAGCAAGAUUGAGAUUACAUCAGACAUCAUUGAAAGCUUACCAAGAGCUGGCUUAUCUGAAGCACCAUGGUCGAACAAACAGGAGAAAACAGCCAGUUUGGUGGGACGCAAAUGCUUGGUGAAAUGUUCUCUUGGAGGUGUUAAUACAUCAGUGCUUUGGGACACGGGGUCACAGGUUUCAAUCGUGGGCUCGGAGUGGAAGAAGAGACAUCUCCCUGACACAGAGGUGAGACCAGUGAGAGAGCUACUUGAGGAGGGAGAACUCAACCUGACAGCGGCGAAUGGGACGAGCAUACCAUAUGAAGGCUGGAUGGAAGUGGAGUUUUGUCUGUCUGGAAACACUGAGACUGAAGGAGGGGGCACACACCUGCUGGCACCAAUUCUCAUUACAUCCAGUGAAUUGGAGAAACCCAUAAUCGGCUUUAAUGUGAUUGAGGAAUUGGUCCAAGCUAACGCAGCCCAACAGAUUCCUUUGAGUUUUCUGGUGAACACACUGAGUUCAUCUCUGGAAGUUAGCCCUAGGAAAGCAAAAGCCGUUCUGUCACUGCUGAAGAAACGCAAAAACAGCAGCAGCUGUCAUAUUGCAAGACUGGGACGAAAAUCCAUCAUUCUUCCAAGGUGCGCGAGAGUGAACGUUAGCUGUGGCAAACUGAAUAGGACGGUUACCCUUGGAACACACGUGAUGCUGGAGCCCAAUUCAGAAGUACCCUGGCCGGCAGGUAUAAAGGUAAACAAACAGCUUAUUCAGAUGCCUCAAAAUGAUAAUGACAACAUUACAGUGAUGGUGGAAAAUACCACGGAAGAAGAGGUGACACUUACAGCACGGACUGUCCUGGGGUGGCUGCAUACAGUGGAUGCCAUCCAUCAGCUGGAAGUGAAACCACCGCCUUCGGCUGAAUCCCAAUUUCAGGUAUCACAAUGUGACAAUGACUCAACUCCAGAGACUCCGAUCAGGGUUCAGGAGAGUGAAGGAUGGGACCCUCCAGUGGACCUCAGUCACUUACCUGGGGAACAACAGGAGCGUGUGAGACAGCUGUUGAGAGAGAAUAGUGGAGUGUUUGCUAAGGAUGACUGGGAUACUGGAUGUAUUCAGGAUCUUACAAUGGACAUUCGUUUGAAAGACAACAUCCCUGUUCAAAAGACGUACAAUGCAAUACCACGACCCCUGUAUCAAGAGGUGAAGACCCACAUACAGAACUUGCUGAGUCAGGGGUGGAUCCAAAAGUCGACAUCCUCCUAUUCCUCGCCGGUUGUGUGUGUGAGAAAGAAGGAUGGGAGCUUG
ensembl:lncRNA